rnacentral:rRNA from 1 species
CAGCAGCCGCGGGAAUACAGAGGGUGCAAGCGUUAAUCGGAAUUACUGGGCGUAAAGCGCGCGUAGGUGGUUUGUUAAGUUGGAUGUGAAAUCCCCGGGCUCAACCUGGGAACUGCAUUCAAAACUGACUGACUAGAGUAUGGUAGAGGGUGGUGAAAUUUCCUGUGUAGCGGUGAAAUGCGUAGAUAUAGGAAGGAACACCAGUGGCGAAGGCGACCACCUGGACUAAUACUGACACUGAGGUGCGAAAGCGUGGGGAGCAAACAGGAUUAGAGACCCCGGUAGUCCCUGUCUCUUAUAC